rnacentral:lncRNA from 1 species
AGUUGUAUUUUUUAAAUAUAAUUUUCAAAAAUUCUAUUUUAGGAAAGUUUUCAUUUUUUCAUAGAAAUAUUGUAGAUUUGGGGUUGUGGUUUAGAAAUUAGGAUAACAAUAAUUUUUGUUGAUAGAUGAGUAUUCUUUUAAAUUUUUUUGAUCAGUAGUUGUAUUUUUUAAAUAUAAUUUUCAAAAAUUCUAUUUUAGGAAAGUUUUCAUUUUUCAUAGAAAUAUUGUAGAUUUGGGGUUGUGAUUUAGAAAUUAGGAUAACAAUAAUUUUUGUUGAUAGAUGAGUAUUAUUUCAGAUUUUUUUGAUCAAUAGUUGUAUUUUUUAAAUAUAAUUUUCGAAAAUUCUAUUUGAGGAAAGUUUUCAUUUUUUUCAUUGAAAUAUUGUAGAUUUGGGGUUGUGGUUUAUAAAUUAGGAUAUCAAUAAUUUUUGAUGAUAGAUGAGUAUUCUUUUAAAUUUUUUUGAUCUAUAGAUGUAUUUUUUAAAUAUAAUUUUCAAAAAUUCUAUUUUAGGAAAGUUUUCCUUUUUUCAUCGAAAUAUUGUAGAUUUGGGUUUGUGAUUUAGAAAUUAGGAUAACAUAAUUUUGUUGAUAGAUGAGUAUUCUUUCAGAUUUUUUUGAUCAAUAGUUGUAUUUUUAAAAUAUAAUUUUCAAAAUUCAAAAUUAUAUUUAGGAAAGUUUUCAUUUUUUCAUAGAAAUAUUGUAGAUUUGGGUUGUGGUUUAGAAAUUAGGAUAACAAUAAUUUUGUUGAUAGAUGAGUUCUUUUAGAUUUUUUUGAUCAAUAGUUUUAUUUUCUAAAUAUAAUUUUCAAAAAUUCUAUUUUAGGAAAGUUUUCAUUUUUUCAUAGAAAUAUUGUAGAUUUGGGGUUGUGAUUUAGAAAUUUUGAUAACAAUAAUUUUUGUUGAUAGAUGAGUAUUAUUUCAGAUUUUUUUGAUCAAUAGUUGUAUUUUUUAAAUAUAAUUCUCAAAAAUUCUAUUUUAGGAAAGUUUUCAUUUUUUCAUAGAAAUAUUGUAGAUUUGGGGUUGUGGUUUAGAAAUUAGGAUAACAAUAAUUUUUGUUGAUAGAUGAGUAUUCUUUUAAAUUUUUUUGAUCAGUAGUUGUAUUUUUUAAAUAUAAUUUUCAAAAAUUCUAUUUUAGGAAAGUUUUCAUUUUUUCAUAGAAAUAUUGUAGAUUUGGGGUUGUGAUUUAGAAAUUAUGAUAAGAAUAAUUUUUGUUGAUAGAUGAGUAUUAUUUCAGAUUUUUUUGAUCAAUAGUUGUAUUUUUAAAUAUAAUUUCAAAAAUUCUAUUUUAGGAAAGUUUUCAUUUUUUCAUAGAAAUAUUGUAGAUUUGGGUUGUGGUUUAGAAAUUAGGAUAACAAUAAUUUUUGUUGAUAGAUGAGUAUUCUUUUAAAUUUUUUGAUCAAUAGUUGUAUUUUUUAAAUAUAAUUUUCAAAAAUUCUAUUUUAGGAAAGUUUUCAUUUUUUCAUAGAAAUAUUGUAGAUUUGGGGUUGUGAUUUAGAAAUUAGGAUAACAAUAAUUUUUGUUGAUAGAUGAGUAUUAUUUUCAGAUUUUUUUGAUCAAUAGUUGUAUUUUUUAAAUAUAAUUUUCAAAAAUUCUAUUUUAGGAAAGUUUUCAUUUUUUCAUGAAAUAUUGUAGAUUUGGGGUUGUGGUUUAGAAAUUAGGAUAACAAUAAUUUUUGUUGAUAGAUGAGUAUUCUUUUAAUUUUUUGAUCAAGUGUUGUAUUUUUUAAAUAUAAUUUUCAAAAAUUCUAUUUUAGGAAAGUUUUCUUUUUUUCAUAGAUAUUUGUAGAUUUGGGGUUGUGAUUUAGAAAUUAGAUAACAAUAAUUUUUGUUGAUAGAUGAGUAUUAUUUCAGAUUUUUUUGAUCAAUAGUUGUAUUUUUUAAAUAUAAUUUUCAAAAAUUCUAUUUUAGGAAAGUUUUCAUUUUUCAUUAGAAAUAUUGUAGAUUUGGGGUUGUGGUUAGAAAUAGGAUAACAAUAAUUUUUGUUGAUAGAUGAGUAUUCUUUUAGAUUUUUUGAUCAAUAGUUGUAUUUUUUAAAUAUAAUUUUCAAAAUUCUAUUUUAGGAAAGUUUUCAUUUUUUCAUAGAAAUAUUGUAGAUUUGGGGUUGUGAUUUAGAAAUUAGGAUAACAAUAAUUUUUGUUGAUAGAUGAGUAUUCUUUUAAAUUUUUUUGAUCAAUAGUUGUAUUUUUUAAAUAUAAUUUUCAAAAAUUCUAUUUUAGGAAAGUUUUCAUUUUUUCAUGAAAUAUUGUAGAUUUGGGUUGUGGUUUAGAAAUUAGGAUAACAAUAAUUUUUGUUGAUAGAUGAGUAUUCUUUUAGAUUUUUUUGAUCAAUAGUUUAUUUUUUAAAUAUAAUUUCAAAAAUUCUAUUUUAGGAAAUUUUCAUUUUUCAUAGAAAUAUUGUAGAUUUGGGGUUGUGAUUUAGAAAUUAGGAUAACAAUAAUUUUUGUUGAUAGAUGAGUUAUUUUCAGAUUUUUUGAUCAAUAGUUGUAUUUUUUAAAUAUAAUUUUCAAAAAUUCUAUUUUAGGAAAGUUUUCAUUUUUCAUAGAAAUAUUGUAGAUUUGGGUUGUGGUUUAGAAAUUAGGAUAACAAUAAUUUUUGUUGAUAGAUGAGUAUUCUUUUAGAUUUUUUUGAUCAAUAGUUGUAUUUUUAAAUAUAAUUUUCAAAAAUUCUAUUUUAGGAAAGUUUUCAUUUUUCAUAGAAAUAUUGUAGAUUUGGGGUUGUGAUUUAGAAAUUAGGAUAACAAUAAUUUUUGUUGAUAGAUGAGUAUUAUUUUCAGAUUUUUUGAUCAAUAGUUGUAUUUUUAAAUAUAAUUUUCAAAAAUUCUAUUUUAGGAAAGUUUUCAUUUUUUCAAAGAAAUAUUGUAGAUUUGGGGUUGUGAUUUAGAAAUUAGGAUAACAAUAAUUUUUGUUGAUAGAUGAGUAUUCUUUUAAAUUUUUUUGAUAUAGUUGUAUUUUUUAAAUAUAAUUUUCAAAAAUUCUAUUUUAGGAAAGUUUUCAUUUUUUCAUAGAAAUAUUGUAGAUUUGGGGUUGUGGUUAGAAAUUAGGAUAACAAUAAUUUUUGUUGAUAGAUGAGUAUUGGAAAGUUUUCAUUUUUUCAUAGAAAUAUUGUAGAUUUGGGGUUGUGAUUUAGAAAUUAGGAUAACAAUAAUUUUUGUUGAUAGAUGAGUAUUCUUAAAUUUUUGAUCAAUAGUUGUAUUUUUUAAAUAUAAUUUCAAAAAUUCUAUUUUAGGAAAGUUUUCAUUUUUUCAUAGAAAUAUUGUAGAUUUGGGGUUGUGAUUUAGAAAUUAGGAUAACAAUAAUUUUUGUUGAUAGAUGAGUAUUCUUUAAAUUUUUUUGAUCAAUAGUUGUAUUUUUAAAUAUAAUUUUCAAAAAUUCUAUUUUAGGAAAGUUUUCAUUUUUCAUAGAAAUAUUGUAGAUUUGGGGUUGUGAUUUAGAAAUAGGAUAACAAUAAUUUUUGUUGAUAGAUGAGUAUUUUUAGAUUUUUUUGAUCAAUAGUUGUAUUUUUUAAAUAUAAUUCUCAAAAAUUAUAUUUUAGGAAAGUUUUCAUUUUUUCAUAGAAAUAUUGUAGAUUUGGGGUUGUGGUUUAGAAAUUAGGAUAACAAUAAUUUUUGUUGAUAGAUGAGUAUUCUUUUAGAUUUUUUUGAUCAAUAGUUUUAUUUUCUAAAUAUAAUUUUCAAAAAUUCUAUUUUAGGAAAGUUUUCAUUUUUUCAUAGAAAUAUUGUAGAUUUGGGGUUGUGAUUUAGAAAAUUUGAUAACAAUAAUUUUUGUUGAUAGAUGAGUAUUAUUUCAGAUUUUUUGAUCAAUAGUUGUAUUUUUUAAAUAUAAUUCUAAAAAUUCUAUUUUAGGAAAGUUUUCAUUUUUCAUAGAAAUAUUGUAGAUUUGGGGUUGUGGUUUAGAAAUUAGGAUAACAAUAAUUUUUGUUGAUAGAUGAGUAUUUUUUAUUUUUUUGAUCAAUAGUUGUAUUUUUAAAUAUAAUUUUCAAAAAUUCUAUUUUAGGAAAGUUUUCAUUUUUUCAUAGAAUAUUGUAGAUUUGGGGUUGUGAUUUAGAAAUUAGGAUAACAAUAAUUUUUGUUGAUAGAUGAGUAUUUUUAGAUUUUUUUGAUCAAUAGUUGUAUUUUUUAAAUAUAAUUUUCAAAAAUUCUAUUUUAGGAAAGUUUUCAUUUUUUCAUAGAAAUAUUGUAGAUUUGGGGUUGUGAUUUAGAAAUUAGGAUAACAAUAAUUUUUGUUGAUAGAUGAGUAUUCUUUUAAAUUUUUUGAUCAAUAGUUGUAUUUUUAAAUAAUAAUUUUCAAAAAUUCUAUUUUAGGAAAGUUUUCAUUUUUUCAUAGAAAUAUUGUAGAUUUGGGGUUGUGGUUUAGAAAUUAGGAUAACAAUAAUUUUUGUUGAUAGAUGAGUAUUUUUAAAAUUUUUUUGAUCAAUAGUUGUAUUUUUAAAUAUAAUUUCAAAAAUUCUAUUUUAGAGAAAGUUUUCAUUUUUCCAUAGAAAAUGUAGAUUUGGGGUUGUGAUUUAGAAAUUAGGAUAACAAUAAUUUUUGUUGAUAGAUGAGUAUUCUUUUAAAUUUUUUGAUCAAUAUUUGUAUUUUUAAAUAUAAUUUUCAAAAUUCUAUUUUAGGAAAGUUUUCAUUUUUUUCAUAGAAAUAUUGUAGAUUUGGGUUGUGAUUUAGAAAUUAGGAUAACAAUAAUUUUUGUUGAUAGAUGAGUAUUCUUUUAAAUUUUUUUGAUCAAUAGUUGUAUUUUUUAAAUAUAAUUUUCAAAAAUUCUAUUUUAGGAAGUUUUCAUUUUUUCAUAGAAAUAUUGUAGAUUGGGGUUGUGGUUUAGAAAUUAGGAUAACAAUAAUUUUUGUUGAUAGAUGAGUAUUCUUUUAAAUUUUUUGAUCAUAAUAGUUGUAUUUUUUAAAUAUAAUUUUCAAAAAUUCUAUUUUAGGAAAGUUUUCAUUUUUCAUAGAAAUAUUGUAGAUUUGGGGUUGUGAUUUAGAAAUUAGGAUAACAAUAAUUUUUGUUGAUAGAUGAGUAUUCUUUUAUUUUUUUGAUCAAUAGUUGUAUUUUUUAAAUAUAAUUUCAAAAUUCUAUUUUAGGAAAGUUUUCAUUUUUUCAUAGAAAUAUUGUAGAUUUGGGGUUGUGGUUUAGAAAUUAGGAUAACAAUAAUUUGUUGAUAGAUGAGUAUUCUUUAAAUUUUUUUGAUCAAUAGUUGUAUUUUUUAAAUAUAAUUUUCAAAAAUUCUAUUUUAGGAAAGUUUUCAUUUUUUCAUAGAAAUAUUGUAGAUUUGGGGUUGUGAUUUAGAAAUUAGGAUAACAAUAAUUUUUGUUGAUAGAUGAGUAUUCUUUUAAAUUUUUUGAUCAAUAGUUGUAUUUUUAAAUAUAAUUUUCAAAAAUUCUAUUUUAGGAAAGUUUUCAUUUUUUCAUAGAAAUAUUGUAGAUUUGGGGUUGUGGUUUAGAAAUUAGGAUAACAAUAAUUUUUGUGAUAGAUGAGUAUUCUUUUAAUUUUUUUGAUCAAUAGUUGUAUUUUUUAAAUAUAAUUUUCAAAAAUUCUAUUUUAGGAAAGUUUUCAUUUUUUCAUAGAAAUAUUGUAGAUUUGGGGUUGUGAUUUAGAAAUUAGGAUAACAAUAAUUUUUGUUGAUAGAUGAGUAUUCUUUUAAAUUUUUUGAUCAAUAGUUGUAUUUUUUAAAUAUAUUUUCAAAAAUUCUAUUUUAGGAAAGUUUUCAUUUUUUCAUAGAAAUAUUGUAGAUUUGGGGUUGUGAUUUAGAAAUUAGGAUAACAAUAAUUUUUGUUGAUAGAUGAGUAUUCUUUUUAAUUUUUUGAUCAAUAGUUGUAUUUUUUAAAUAUAAUUUUCAAAAAUUCUAUUUUAGGAAAGUUUUCAUUUUUUCAUAGAAAUAUUGUAGAUUUGGGGUUGUGGUUUAGAAAUUAGGAUAACAAUAAUUUUGUUGAUAGAUGAGUAUUCUUUUAAUUUUUUUGAUCAAUAGUUGUAUUUUUUAAAUAUAAUUUAAAAUUCUAUUUUAGGAAAGUUUUCAUUUUUCAUAGAAAUAUUGUAGAUUUGGGGUGUAUUUAGAAAUUAGGAUACAAUAAUUUUUGUUGAUAGAUGAGUAUUAUUUCAGAUUUUUUUGAUCAAUAGUUGUAUUUUUUAAAUAUAAUUUUCAAAAAUUCUAUUUUAGGAAAGUUUUCAUUUUUCAUUGAAAAAUAUGUAGAUUUGGGGUUGUGGUUUAGAAAUUAGGAUAACAAUAAUUUUUGUUGAUAGAUGAGUAUUCUUUUAAAUUUUUUUGAUCAAUAGUUGUAUUUUUUAAAUAUAAUUUCAAAAAUUCUAUUUUAGGAAAGUUUUCAUUUUUUCAUAGAAAUAUUGUAGAUUUGGGUUGUGAUUUAGAAAUUAGGAUAACAAUAAUUUUGUUGAUAGAUGAGUAUUAUUUCAGAUUUUUUUGAUCAAUAGUUGUAUUUUUAAAAUAUAAUUUUCAAAAAUUCUAUUUUAGGAAAGUUUUCAUUUUUUCAUAGAAAUAUUGUAGAUUUGGGGUUGUGGUUUAAAAUUAGGAUAACAAUAAUUUUUGUUGAUAGAUGAGUAUUCUUUUAGAUUUUUUGAUCAAUAGUUGUAUUUUAAAUAUAAUUUUCAAAAAUUCUAUUUUAGGAAAGUUUUCAUUUUUCAUAGAAAUAUUGUAGAUUUGGGGUUGUGUAGAAAUUAGGAUAACAAUAAUUUUUGUUGAUAGAUGAGUAUUAUUUCAGAUUUUUUUGAUCAAUAGUUGUAUUUUUUAAAUAUAAUUUUCAAAAAUUCUAUUUUAGGAAAGUUUUCAUUUUUUCAUAGAAAUAUUGUAGAUUUGGGGUUGUGGUUUAGAAAUUAGGAUAACAAUAAUUUUUGUUGAUAGAUGAGUAUUCUUUUAAAUUUUUUUGAUCAAUAGUUGUAUUUUUUAAAUAUAAUUUUCAAAAAUUCUAUUUUAGGAAAGUUUUCAUUUUUCAUAGAAAUAUUGUAGAUUUGGGGUUGUGAUUUAGAAAUUAGGAUAACAAUAAUUUUGUUGAUAGAUGAGUAUUAUUUCAGAUUUUUUUGAUCAAUAGUUGUAUUUUUUAAAUAUAUUUCAAAAAUUCUAUUUUAGGAAAGUUUUCAUUUUUUCAUAGAAAUAUUGUAGAUUUGGGGUUGUGGUUUAGAAAUUAGGAUAACAAUAUUUUGUUGAUAGAUGAGUAUUCUUUUAAUUUUUGAUCAAUAGUUGUAUUUUUAAAUAUAAUUUUCAAAAAUUCUAUUUUAGGAAAGUUUUCAUUUUUUCAUAGAAAUAUUGUAGAUUUGGGGUUGUGGUUUAGAAAUUAGGAUAACAAUAAUUUUUGUUGAUAGAUGAGUAUUCUUUAAGAUUUUUUGAUCAAUAGUUGUAUUUUUUAAAUAUAAUUUUCAAAAAUUCUAUUUUAGGAAAGUUUUCAUUUUUCAUAGAAUAUUGUAGAUUUGGGGUUGUGGUUUAGAAAUUAGGAUAACAAUAAUUUUUGUUGAUAGAUGAGUAUUCUUUUAAAUUUUUUGAUCAAUAGUUGUAUUUUUUAAAUAUAAUUUCAAAAAUUCUAUUUUAGGAAAGUUUUUUUUUUUCAUAGAAAUAUUGUAGAUUUGGGGUUGUGAUUUAGAAAUUAGGAUAACAAUAAUUUUUGUUGAUAGAUGAGUAUUCUUUUAGUUUUUUUGAUCAAUAGUUGUAUUUUUUAAAUAUAAUUUUCAAAAUUCUAUUUUAGGAAAGUUUUCAUUUUUUCAUAGAAUAUUGUAGAUUUGGGGUUGUGGUUUAGAAAUUAGGAUAACAAUAAUUUUUGUUGAUAGAUGAGUAUUCUUUUAAAUUUUUUUGAUCAAUAGUUGUAUUUUUAAAUAUAUUUUCAAAAAUUCUAUUUUGGAAAGUUUUCAUUUUUUCAUAGAAAUAUUGUAGAUUUGGGGUUGUGGUUUAGAAAUUAGGAUAACAAUAAUUUUUGUUGAUAGAUGAGUAUCUUUUAAAUUUUUUGAUCAAUAGUUUGUAUUUUUUAAAUAUAAUUUCAAAAAUUCUAUUUAGGAAAGUUUUCAUUUUUUCAUAGAAAUAUUGUAGAUUUGGGGUUGUGAUUUAGAAAUUAGGAUAACAAUAAUUUUUGUUGAUAGAUGAGUAUUCUUUAAAUUUUUUUGAUCAAUAGUUGUAUUUUUAAAUAUAAUUUUGAUAGAUGAGUAUUCUUUUAAAUUUUUUGAUCAAUAGUUGUAUUUUUUAAAUAUAAUUUUCAAAAAUUCUAUUUUAGGAAAGUUUUCAUUUUUCAUAGAAAUAUUGUAGAUUUGGGGUUGUGAUUUAGAAAUUAGGAUAACAAUAUAUUUUGUUGAUAGAUGAGUAUUAUUUCAGAUUUUUUUGAUCAAUAGUUGUAUUUUUUAAAUAUAAUUUUCAAAAAUUCUAUUUUAGGAAAGUUUUCAUUUUUUCAUAGAAAUAUUGUAGAUUUGGGGUUGUGGUUUAGAAAUUAGGAUAACAAUUUUUGUUGAUAGAUGAGUAUUCUUUUAAAUUUUUGAUCAAUAGUUGUAUUUUUUAAAUAUAAUUUCAAAAAUUCUAUUUUAGGAAAGUUUUCAUUCAUAGAAAUAUUGUAGAUUUGGGGUUGUGAUUUAGAAAUUAGGAUAACAAUUUUUUUGAUAGAUGAGUAUUAUUUCAGAUUUUUUUGAUCAAUAGUUGUAUUUUUUAAAUAUAAUUUUCAAAAAUUCUAUUUUAGGAAAGUUUUCAUUUUUUUCAUUGAAAUAUUGUAGAUUUGGGGUUGUGGUUUAGAAAUUAGGAUAUCAAAAUUUUUGUUGAUAGAUGAGUAUUCUUUUAAAUUUUUUGAUCAAUAGUUGUAUUUUUUAAUAUAAUUUUCAAAAAUUCUAUUUUAGGAAAGUUUUUUUUUUUUCAUAGAAAUAUUGUAGAUUUGGGGUGUGGUUUAGAAAUUAGGAUAACAAUAAUUUUGUUGAUAGAUGAGUAUUCUUUUAAAUUUUUGAUCAAUAGUUGUAUUUUUUAAAUAUAAUUUCAAAAAUUCUAUUUUAGGAAAGUUUUCAUUUUUUCAUAGAAAUAUUGUAGAUUUGGGGUUGUGAUUUAGAAAUUAGGAUAACAAUAAUUUUUGUUGAUAGAUGAGUAUUCUUUUAGAUUUUUUUGAUCAAUAGUUGUAUUUUUUAAAUAUAAUUUUCAAAAAUUCUAUUUUAGGAAAGUUUUCAUUUUUUCAUAGAAAUAUUGUAGAUUUGGGGUUGUGGUUUAGAAAUUAGGAUAACAAUAAUUUUUGUUGAUAGAUGAGUAUUCUUUUAAAUUUUUUUGAUCAAUAGUUGUAUUUUUUAAAUAUAAUUUUCAAAAUUCUAUUUUAGGAAAGUUUUCAUUUUUCAUAGAAAUAUUGUAGAUUUGGGGUUGUGAUUUAGAAAUUAGGAUAACAAUAAUUUUUGUUGAUAGAUGAGUAUUCUUUUAGAUUUUUUGAUCAAUAGUUGUAUUUUUAAAUAUAAUUUUCAAAAAUUCUAUUUUAGGAAAGUUUUCAUUUUUCAAUAAAUAUUGUAGAUUUGGGGUUGUGAUUUAGAAAUUAGGAUAACAAUAAUUUUUGUUGAUAGAUGAGUAUUCUUUUAAAUUUUUUGAUCAAUAGUUGUAUUUUUAAAUAUAAUUUUCAAAAAUUCUAUUUUAGGAAAGUUUUCAUUUUUUCAUAGAAAUAUUGUAGAUUUGGGUUGUGAUUUAGAAAUUAGGAUAACAAUAAUUUUUGUUGAUAGAUGAGUAUUUUAGGAUAACAAUAAUUUUUGUUGAUAGAUGAGUAUUAUUUUCAGAUUUUUUUGAUCAAUAGUUGUAUUUUUUAAAUAUAAUUCUCAAAAAUUCUAUUUUAGGAAAGUUUUCAUUUUUCAUAGAAAUAUUGUAGAUUUGGGGUUGUGGUUUAGAAAUUAGGAUAACAAUAAUUUUUGUUGAUAGAUGAGUAUUCUUUUAGAUUUUUUUGAUCAAUAGUGUAUUUUUUAAAUAUAAUUUUCAAAAAUUCUAUUUUAGGAAAGUUUUCAUUUUUUCAUAGAAAUAUGUAGAUUUGGGGUUGUGAUUUAGAAAUUAGGAUAACAAUAAUUUUUGUUGAUAGAUGAGUAUUAUUUCAGAUUUUUUUGAUCAAUAGUUGUAUUUUUUAAAUAUAAUUUUCAAAAAUUCUAUUUUAGGAAAGUUUUCAUUUUUUUCAUAGAAAUAUUGUAGAUUUGGGGUUGUGGUUUAGAAAUUAGGAUAACAAUAAUUUUUGUUGAUAGAUGAGUAUUCUUUUAAAUUUUUUUGAUCAGUAGUUGUAUUUUUUAAAUAUAAUUUUCAAAAAUUCUAUUUUAGGAAAGUUUUCAUUUUUCCAUAGAAAAAUUGUAGAUUUGGGGUUGUGAUUUAGAAAUUAUGAUAAGAAUAAUUUUUGUUGAUAGAUGAGUAUUAUUUCAGAUUUUUUUGAUCAAUAGUUGUAUUUUUUAAAUAUAAUUUUCAAAAAUUCUAUUUUAGGAAAGUUUUCAUUUUUUCAUAGAAUAUUGUAGAUUUGGGGUUGUGGUUUAGAAAUUAGGAUAACAAUAUUUUUGUUGAUAGAUGAGUAUUCUUUUAGAUUUUUUUGAUCAAUAGUUUUAUUUUUUUAAAUUUAAAUAUAAUUCAAAAUUUCUAUUUUAGAAAGUUUUCAUUUUUUUUCAUAGAAAUAUUGUAGAUUUGGGGUUUUGUAUUUAGAAAUUAGGAUAACAAUAAUUUUUGUUGAUAGAUGAGUAUUCUUUCAGAUUUUUUUGAUCAAUAGUUGUAUUUUUUAAUAUAAUUUUCAAAAUUUCUAUUUUAGGAAAGUUUUCAUUUUUUCAUAGAAAUAUUGUAGAUUUGGGGUUGUGGUUUAGAAAUUAGGAUAACAAUAAUUUUUGUUGAUAGAUGAGUAUUCUUUUAAAUUUUUUUGAUCAAUAGUUGUAUUUUUUAAAUAUAAUUUUCAAAAAUUCUAUUUUAGAAAAGUUUUCAUUUUUCAUAGAAAUAUUGUAGAUUUGGGGUUUUGAUUUAGAAAUUAGGAUAACAAUAAUUUUGUUGAUAGAUGAGUAUUAUUUCAGAUUUUUUUGAUCAAUAGUUGUAUUUUUUAAAUAUAAUUUCAAAAAUUCUAUUUUAGGAAAGUUUUCAUUUUUUCAUAGAAAUAUUGUAGAUUUGGGGUUGUGGUUUAGAAAUUAGGAUAACAAUAAUUUUUGUUGAUAGAUGAGUAUUCUUUUAAAUUUUUUUGAUCAAUAGUUGUAUUUUUUAAUAUAAUUUCAAAAAUUCUAUUUUAGGAAAGUUUUCAUUUUUUUCAUCGAAAUAUUGUAGAUUUGGGGUUGUGAUUUAGAAAUUAGGAUAACAAUAAUUUUUGUUGAUAGAUGAGUAUUAUUUCAGAUUUUUUUGAUCAAUAGUUGUAUUUUUUAAUAUAAUUUUCAAAAUUCUAUUUUAGGAAAGUUUUCAUUUUUUCAUAGAAAUAAAUUGUAGAUUUGGGUUGUGGUUUAGAAUUAGGAUAACAAUAAUUUUUGUUGAUAGAUGAGUAUUCUUUUAAAUUUUUUUGAUCAAUAGUUGUAUUUUUUAAAUAUAUUUUCAAAAAUUCUAUUUUAGGAAAUUUUUCAUUUUUUCAUAGAAAUAUUGUAGAUUUGGGGUUGUGAUUUAGAAAUUAGGAUAACAAUAAUUUUUGUUGAUAGAUGAGUAUUAUUUCAGAUUUUUUGAUCAAUAGUUUGUAUUUUUUAAUAUAAUUUUCAAAAAUUCUAUUUUAGGAAAGUUUUCAUUUUUUCAUAGAAAUAUUGUAGAUUUGGGGUUGUGUUUAGAAAUUAGGAUAACAAUAAUUUUUGUUGAUAGAUGAGUAUUCUUUUAAAUUUUUUUGAUCAAUAGUUGUAUUUUUUAAAUAUAAUUUUCAAAAUUUCUAUUUUAGGAAAGUUUUCAUUUUUUUCAUAGAAAUAUUGUAGAUUUGGGGUUGUGAUUUAGAAUUAGGAUACAAUAAUUUUUGUUGAUAGAUGAGUAUUAUUUCAGAUUUUUUGGAUCAAUAGUUGUAUUUUUUAAAUAUAAUUUUCAAAAUUCUAUUUUAGGAAAGUUUUCAUUUUUUCAUAGAAUAUUGUAGAUUUGGGGUUGUGAUUUAGAAAUUAGGAUAACAAUAAUUUUUGUUGAUAGAUGAGUAUUCUUUUAAUUUUUUUGAUCAAUAGUUGUAUUUUUUAAAUAUAAUUUUCAAAAAAUAUAAUUUCUCAAAAAUUCUAUUUUAGGAAAGUUUUCAUUUUUUCAUAGAAAUAUUGUAGAUUUGGGGUUGUGGUUUAGAAAUUAGGAUAACAAUAAUUUUUGUUGAUAGAUGAGUAUUCUUUUAAUUUUUUUGAUCAAUGUUGUAUUUAAAUAUAUUUUCAAAAAUUCUAUUUUAGGAAAGUUUUCAUUUUUUCAUAGAAAUAUUGUAGAUUUGGGGUUGUGAUUUAGAAAUUAGGAUAACAAUAAUUUUUGUUGAUAGAUGAGUAUUAUUUCAGAUUUUUUUGAUCAAUAGUUGUAUUUUUUAAAUAUAAUUUUCAAAAAUUCUAUUUUAGGAAAGUUUUCAUUUUUUCAUAGAAAUAUUGUAGAUUUGGGGUUGUGAUUUAGAAAUUAGGAUAACAAUAAUUUUUGUUGAUAGAUGAGUAUUAUUUUAGAUUUUUUGAUCAAUAGUUGUAUUUUUUAAAUAUAAUUUUCAAAAAUUCUAUUUUAGGAAAGUUUUCAUUUUUUCAUAGAAAUAUUGUAGAUUUGGGGUUGUGAUUUAGAAAUUAGGAUAACAAUAUUUUUGUUGAUAGAUGAGUAUUCUUUUAAUUUUUUGAUCAAUAGUUGUAUUUUUUAAAUAAUUUCAAAAAUUCUAUUUUAGGAAAGUUUUCAUUUUUUUCAUUGAAAUAUUGUAGAUUUGGGGUUGUUGUUUAGAAAUUAGGAUAACAAUAUUUUUGUUGAUAGAUGAGUAUUCUUUUAAAUUUUUGAUCUAUAGUUGUAUUUUUUAAAUAUAAUUUUCAAAAAUUCUAUUUUAGGAAAGUUUUCGUUUUUUCAUAGAAAUAUUGUAGAUUGGGGGUUGGUUUUAGAAAUUAGGAUAACAAUUUUUGUUGAUAGAUGACUAUUCUUUUAAAUUUUUUUGAUCUGUAGUUGUAUUUUUUAAAUAUAAUUUUUAAAAAUUCUAUUUUAGGAACGUUUUCAUUUUUUCAUAGAAAUAUUGUAGAUUUUGGGUUGUGAUUUAGAAAUUUUGAUAACAAUAAUUUUUGUUGAUAGAUGAGUAUUAUUUCAGAUUUUUUUGAUCAAUAGUUGUAUUUUUUAAAUAUAUUUCUCAAAAAUUCUAUUUUAGGAAAGUUUUCAUUUUUUCAUAGAAAUAUUGUAGAUUUGGGGUUGUGGUUUAGAAAUUAGGAUAACAAUAAUUUUUGUUGAUAGAUGAGUAUUCUUUUAAAUUUUUUUGAUCAGUAGUUGUAUUUUUUAAAUAUAAUUUUCAAAAAUUCUAUUUUAGGAAAGUUUUCAUUUUUUCAUAGAAAUAUUGUAGAUUUGGGGUUGUGAUUUAGAAAUUAUGAUAAGAAUAAUUUGUUGAUAGAUGAGUAUUCUUUUAAUUUUUUUGAUCAAUAGUUGUAUUUUUAAAUAUAAUUUUCAAAAAUUCUAUUUUAGGAAAGUUUUCAUUUUUCAUAGAAAUAUUGUAGAUUUGGGGUUGUGAUUUAGAAAUUAGGAUAACAAUAAUUUUGUUGAUAUAUGAGUAUUCUUUUAAAUUUUUUUGAUCAGUAUUUGUAUUUUUUAAAUAUAAUUUCAAAAAUUCUAUUUUAGGAAAGUUUUCAUUUUUUUUCAUAGAAAUAUUGUAGAUUUGGGGUUGUAAUCUUGAAAUUAGGAUAACAAUAAUUUUGUUGAUAGAUGAGUAUUCUUUUAAAUUUUUUUGAUCAAUAGUUGUAUUUUUUAAAUAUAAUUUUCAAAAAUUCUAUUUUAGGAAAGUUUUCAUUUUUUCAUAGAAAUAUUGUAGAUUUGGGGUUGUGGUUUAGAAAUUAGGAUAACAAUAAUUUUUGUUGAUAGAUGAGUAUUCUUUUAAAUUUUUUGAUCAUAGUUGUAUUUUUUAAAUAUAAUUUUCAAAAAUUCUAUUUUAGGAAAGUUUUCAUUUUUUCAUAGAAAUAUUGUUUUGGGGUUGUGAUUUAGAAAUUAGGAUAACAAUAAUUUUUGUUGAUAGAUGAGUAUUAUUUCAGAUUUUUUUGAUCAAUAGUUGUAGUUUUUAAAUAUAAUUUCAAAAUUCUAUUUUAGGAAAGUUUUCAUUUUUUCAUUGAAAUAUUGUAGAUUUGAGGGUUGUGGUUUAUAAUUAGGAUAUCAAUAAUUUUUUGUUGAUAGAUGAGUAUUCUUUUAAAUUUUUUUGAUCUAUAGAUGUAUUUUUUAAAAUAAAUUUUCAAAAAUUCUAUUUUAGGAAAGUUUUCAUUUUUUCAUAGAAAUAUUGUAGAUUUGGGGUUGUGGUUUAGAAAUUAGGAUAACAAUAAUUUUUGUUGAUAGAUGAGUAUUCUUUUAAAUUUUUGAUCUGUAGUUGUAUUUUUUAAAUAUAAUUUUAAAAAUUCUAUUUUAGGAAAGUUUUCAUUUUUUCAUAGAAAUAUUGUAGAUUUGGGUUGUGAUUUAGAAAUUGAUAACAAUAAUUUUUGUUGAUAGAUGAGUAUUAUUUUAGAUUUUUUGAUCAAUAGUUGUAUUUUUAAAUAUAUUUCUCAAAAAUUCUAUUUUAGGAAAGUUUUCAUUUUUUCAUAGAAAUAUUGUAGAUUUGGGGUUGUGGUUUAGAAAUUAGGAUAACAAUAAUUUUUGUUGAUAGAUGAGUAUUCUUUUAAAUUUUUUUGAUCAGUAGUUGUAUUUUUUAAAUAUAAUUUUCAAAAAUUCUAUUUUAGGAAAGUUUUCAUUUUUUCAUAGAAAUAUUGUAGAUUUGGGGUUGUGAUUUAGAAAUUAUGAUAAGAAUAAUUUUUGUUGAUAGAUGAGUAUUCUUUUAAAUUUUUUUGAUCAAUAGUUGUAUUUUUAAAUAUAAUUUUCAAAAAUUCUAUUUUAGGAAAGUUUUCAUUUUUCCAUAGAAAUAAUGUAGAUUUGAGGUUGUGAUUUAGAAAUUAGGAUAACAAUAAUUUUUGUUGAUAUAUGAGUAUUCUUUUAAAUUUUUUUGAUCAGUAUUUGUAUUUUUUAAAUAUAAUUUUCAAAAAUUCUAUUUUACGAAAGUUUUCAUUUUUUUUCAUAGAAAUAUUGUAGAUUUGGGGUUGUAAUCUAGAAAUUAGGAUAACAAUAAUCUUUGUUGAUAGAUGAGUAUUCUUUUAAAUUUUUUUGAUCAAUAGUUGUAUUUUUUAAAUAUAAUUUUCAAAAAUUCUAUUUUAGGAAAGUUUUCAUUUUUUCAUAGAAAUAUUGUAGAUUUGGGGUUGUGGUUUAGAAAUUAGGAUAACAAUAAUUUUUGUUGAUAGAUGAGUAUUCUUUUAAAUUUUUUUGAUCAAUAGUUGUAUUUUUUAAAUAUAAUUUUCAAAAAUUCUAUUUUAGGAAAGUUUUCAUUUUUUCAUAGAAAUAUUGUAGAUUUGGGGUUGUGAUUUAGAAAUUAGGAUAACAAUAAUUUUUGUUGAUAGAUGAGUAUUAUUUCAGAUUUUUUUGAUCAAUAGUUGUAGUUUUUAAAUAUAAUUUUCAAAAAUUCUAUUUUAGGAAAGUUUUCAUUUUUUCAUUGAAAUAUUGUAGAUUUGGGGUUGUGGUUUAGAAAUUAGGAUAACAAUAAUUUUUGUUGAUAGAUGAGUAUUCUUUCAGAUUUUUUUGAUCAAUAGUUGUAUUUUUUAAAUAUAAUUUUCAAAAAUUCUAUUUUAGGAAAGUUUUCAUUUUUCCAUAGAAAUAAUGUAGAUUUGAGGUUGUGAUUUAGAAAUUAGGAUAACAAUAAUUUUUGUUGAUAUAUGAGUAUUCUUUUAAAUUUUUUUGAUCAGUAUUUGUAUUUUUUAAAUAUAAUUUUCAAAAAUUCUAUUUUAGGAAAGUUUUCAUUUUUUUUCAUAGAAAUAUUGUAGAUUUGGGGUUGUGAUUUAGAAAUUUUGAUAACAAUAAUUUUUGUCGAUUGAUGAGUAUUCUUUUAAAUUUUUUUGAUCUAUAGUUGUAUUUUUUAAAUAUAAUUUUCAAAAAUUCUAUUUUAGGAAAGUUUUCAUUUUUUCAUAGAAAUAUUGUAGAUUUGGGGUUGUGAUUUAGAAAUUAGGAUAACAAUAAUUUUUGUUGAUAGAUGAGUAUUCUUUUAAAUUUUUUUGAUCAGUAGUUGUAUUUUUCAAAUAUAAUUUUCAAAAAUUCUGUUUUAGGAAAGUUUUCAUUUUUUCAUAGAAAUAUUGUAGAUUUGGGGUUGUGAUUUAGAAAUUAUGAUAAGAAUAAUUUUUGUUGAUAGAUGAGUAUUAUUUCAGAUUUUUUUGAUCAAUAGUUGUAUUUUUUAAAUAUAAUUUUCAAAAAUUCUAUUUUAGGAAAGUUUUCAUUUUUUCAUAGAAAUAUUGUAGAUUUGGGGUUAUGAUUUAGAAAUUAGGAUAACAAUAAUUUUUGUUGAUAGAUGAGUAUUCUUUUAAACUUUUUUGAUCAAUAGUUGUAUUUUUUAAAUAUAAUUUUCAAAAAUUCUAUUUUAGGAAAGUUUUCAUUUUUUUCAUUGAAAUAUUGUAGAUUUGGGGUUGUGGUUUAUAAAUGAGUCGAUUACCAUUUAUGACACUUUUUUAUCUUUUUAACACUUUAAGACAACAAUCCGCUGGAGGGACACUUUCUUGAAUCUGAGAGCUGUUGGACAGAAAUGCCAUUGCUCAGAAGAAACGGAAGAUGCGCUUAUGUUUGGUAAGUAUAAUUGUAACUUUCUUUUCUAUUUCUCUAAUGUAUUCAUUUACUAUUUCAAAUUCUAAAAAUAAUAAAACAAAAAUAAUUAUCACAUUAAAUUAUGUAUAAAAUUCUAUCUUUUUAACAUCCAUUUUCAUAUAUAUAUACUAAUAUAUAUUAAAAAAAAGUAUGGAAUGGAUAUCAUAGUGUGGAUAAUAUAGUUAUAAAUUAAUUGUGACAUGGACACAAACCAUAUUUAUUCAUACACUAUUUCAGUUUCUGAUUAAAUAAAUAUAUAAUAACCAUAUAAAAACAUGUUUCUUUUUUCUUAUUAUUUUGAUAUCCAAAUAUAUAUUUUUUAUAUUUUAAUGUCUAACUAAAUUGCUAAAUUAUAAUUUAUUGGACAUAUUUUUUGGAUGGACACAAUAUUUUUUUUUUUUUACAAAAUUCUUUUUUGUUUUCUAUUUUUUUAUUUAAAGAUGUAUAUGACCAAAAAAAUUAGUAUAACAAAGUGAUAUAUAUUUGUUAUUUAAUGAUAAUUAUUUUAUUGUUUUAUCUAAUUUUUAUAUAUAUUUUAUAUUAUAACUUAUAAGAAUGUAUGGAUAUGGAUAUAAAAGUGUGUACGUAAGAUAUGUGGACAUGGAUAUAAAUGUGUAAAAGAGAAUAUCUAGACAUAUUAGUAUGACACACAAGUUGUAUCCACAUCAAAGUUUCUGAAAGAGAUCAUGUUAAAUGAUGUCCAUUAUCGAUUUUUGUGAGCUAGUAGGUGUGGACAUGGAUUAGGAUAUUUUAUAUGGACAUUGUAAUCAUGAAGAACAUAAUUGCAUAAAACAUGUCUGUGGUGUAUACUUGAAAAUUUUGAUACUAAUUAGAAUACAAAUCUGCACAUUUAAAAUUGAGGGUGAAAACAAAUACUUACAUAAAUAUAAGGACCAAAUAUGUAAAUUCAUCAUUCUUAUUGCAGAUCUAAUCGAGCUUUCACCCAUGGUGAUACCAAGCUCAAACCACUGCAGCUUCACCAUAUAAUGGAUGAGACUUCGGAAAUGAGUUGAGCAAGGCGAGGAGUCAACUUGAGCAGCAGAUCCGUGGUUUGGGGGAGGAUUUCGACGAGCUCGAACCCCAUGGCUUCACUGAGCCACCGAGCUUACCGAUGCGAUGUUGAGCUCGAAAUCCAUGUUGAGGCGUUUUCUCUUUCUUUUUUUUUAUCCGUGGAUUCUGUCAUGAUUCGUAAUAAAAGAUAGAAAAACAGACAAAAAUAGAGAUAGACAAAAGGAAUAAGAAAAAGUUGAGAAGAAGGGACAAGCCAAGAGGAUAAGAAUUAAUUGUUUCUUCGAUUUGAUGAAGGAGAGUGUAUCGUGAUUAUUGGAUUUGAGUAUGCGUUAUGAAAAUAAAUAAAAAGAAAAAAAUAGAGUUUAAUAAAAGUGAAUCUGAACUUGAAUUUUGAAAUUCUAAAAUAAAUAAAUUUUUGAAUGAUUUAAUAAAAAGACUUUUGGAUUUAGUUAUAUUUCUAGUUAUUGUUAGAUAAGGUUGAGGGCAUCUAAGACAUUGCACAUAGAAAUUGUGUGCCUCAAGCAACAAGUGUCUAAAUAUGCAAUUCCAAAGACAUAAUGUGUCCUAGAAUGUAAAAAAAUCUUUAUAAAUUAGGAUAUCAAUAAUUUUUGAUGAUAGAUGAGUAUUCUUUUAAAUUUUUUUGAUCUAUAGAUGUAUUUUUAAAAUAUAAUUUUCGAAAAUUCUAUUUGAGGAAAGUUUUCGUUUUUUCAUAGAAAUAUUGUAGAUUUGGGGUUGUGGUUUAGAAAUUAAGAUAACAAUAAUUUUUGUUGAUAGAUGACUAUUCUUUUAAAUUUUUUUGAUCUGUAGUUGUAUUUUUUAAAUAUAAUUUUCAAAAAUUCUAUUUUAGGAAAUUUUCAUUUUUCAUAGAAAUAUUGUAGAUUUGGGUUGUGAUUUAGAAAUUUGAUAACAAUAAUUUUGUUGAUAGAGAUAUUAUUUUUCAGAUUUUUUGAUCAAUAGUUGUAUUUUUUAAAUAUAAAUCUCAAAAAUUCUAUUUUAGGAAAGUUUUCAUUUUUUCAUAGAAAAUUGUAGAUUUGGGGUGUGGUUUAGAAAAUUAGGAUAACAAUAAUUUUUGUUGAUAGAUGAGUAUUCUUUUAAAUUUUUUUGAUCAGUAGUUGUAUUUUUUAAAUAUAAUUUUCAAAAAUUCUAUUUUAGGAAAGUUUUCAUUUUUUCAUAGAAAUAUUGUAGAUUUGGGGUUGUGAUUUAGAAAUUAUGAUAAGAAUAAUUUUUGUUGAUAGAUGAGUAUUCUUUUAAAUUUUUUUGAUCAAUAGUUGUAUUUUUUAAAUAUAAUUUUCAAAAAUUCUAUUUUAGGAAAGUUUUCAUUUUUCCAUAGAAAUAAUGUAGAUUUGAGGUUGUGAUUUAGAAAUUAGGAUAACAAUAAUUUUUGUUGAUAUAUGAGUAUUCUUUUAAAUUUUUUUGAUCAGUAUUUGUAUUUUUUAAAUAUAAUUUUCAAAAAUUCUAUUUUACGAAAGUUUUCAUUUUUUUUCAUAGAAAUAUUGUAGAUUUGGGUUGUAUUAGAAAUAGGAUAACAAUAAUUUUGUUGAUAGAUGAGUAUUCUUUUAAAUUUUUUUGAUCAAUAGUUGUAUUUUUUAAAUAUAAUUUUCAAAAAUUCUAUUUAGGAAAAGUUUCAUUUUUUCAUAGAAAUAUUGUAGAUUUGGGGUGUGGUUUAGAAAUUAGAUAACAAUAAUUUUUUGUUGAUAGAUGAGUAUUCUUUUAAAUUUUUUGAUCAAUAGUUGUAUUUUUAAAAUAUAAUUUUCAAAAAUUCUAUUUUAGGAAAGUUUUCAUUUUUUCAUAGAAUAAUUGUAGAUAUUGGGGUUGUGAUUUAGAAAUUAGGAUAACAAUAAUUUUUGUUGAUAGAUGAGUAUUCUUUCAGAUUUUUUUGAUCAAUAGUUGAAGUUUUUAAAUAUAAUUUUCAAAAAUUCUAUUUUAGGAAAGUUUUCAUUUUUUCAUUGAAAUAUUGUAGAUUUGGUUGUGGUUUAGAAAUUAGGAUAACAAUAAUUUUUGUUGAUAGAUGAGUAUUCUUUUAAAUUUUUUUGAUCAAUUGUUGUAUUUUUUAAAUAUAAUUUUCAAAAAAUUCUAUUUUAGGAAGUUUUCGUUUUUUCAUCGAAAUAUGUAGAUUUGGGGUUGUGAUUUAGAAAUUAGGAUAACAAUAAUUUUUGUUAAUAGAUGAGUAUUAUUUCCAGAUUUUUUUAUCAAUAGUUGUAUUUUUUAAAAUAUAAUUUUCAAAAAUUCUAAUUUAGGAAAGUUUUCAUUUUUAAAUAUAAUUUUCAAAAAUUCUAUUUUAGGAAAGUUUUCAUUUUUUCAUAUAAAUAUUGUAGAUUUGGGGUUGUGAUUUAGAAAUUAGGAUAACAAUAAUUUUUGUUGAUAGAUGAGUAUUCUUUUAAACUUUUUUGAUCAAUAGUUGUAUUUUUUAAAUAUAAUUUUCAAAAAUUCUAUUUUAGGAAAGUUUUCAUUUUUUUCAUUGAAAUAUUGUAGAUUUGAGGUUGUGGUUUAUAAAUUAGGAUAUCAAUAAUUUUUGAUGAUAGAUGAGUAUUCUUUUAAAUUUUUUUGAUCUAUAGAUGUAUUUUUUAAAUAUAAUUUUCGAAGAUUCUAUUUGAGGAAAGUUUUCGUUUUUUCAUAGAAAUAUUGUAGAUUUGGGGUUGUGGUUUAGAAAUUAGGAUAACAAUAAUUUUUGUUGAUAGAUGACUAUUCUUUUAAAUUUUUUUGAUCUGUAGUUGUAUUUUUUAAAUAUAAUUUUUAAAAAUUCUAUUUUAGGAAAGUUUUCAUUUUUUCAUAGAAAUAUUGUAGAUUUGGGGUUGUGAUUUAGAAAUUUUGAUAACAAUAAUUUUUGUUGAUAGAUGAGUAUUAUUUCAGAUUUUUUUGAUCAAUAGUUGUAUUUUUUAAAUAUAAUUCUCAAAAAUUCUAUUU